AGCAGUAGCAAAGCUGUCCGUUUUGGUUUCUCACCGUGGAAGCUUUGUUCUUUUGGUCUUUUGUAAUAGGUCUUGCUGUUGCUCAGUGUUUGGGUCUACAUUACUUUUGGAGCUGUGGCACUCCGCGUGAAGGCUUGCAGCUUCACCCUUGAAGCCAGUGAGACCAUGAACCCACCAGGAGGAGUGAAGGCUGUCUUGUCUUAAGUAGUCCUACCGGCUGUAACGGUUGUUGUGAAAGUCUGUAUCCUCACUCGUGAGCCAGCAAGACCAUGAAUCAACUAGGAGGAAGAAACUCCGAACAUAUGCGAACAUCAGGAGGAACAAACUCUGGAUACGCUGCUUUUAAAAGUUGUAAUGCUCACUGAGCAGGUUUGCGGCUUCAUUCUUGAAGUCAGUGAGACCAAGAACCCACCAAUUCUGGACACAAAAUCUGUUUGCCUGUUUAGAGGCAUACUACGGGGUUACAUUAGAAGCCCACCGAGAUAAUCCAAUACAAUCUUCUGAUCUCAAAAUCCUUCACUUAAUGACAUCUUUGGCAACUUGAAAUAAUAAUCACAGGUGUCUGACUUUUAAGGUGAGAGAACUAAGUUGUGUGACUCCAAAAGAGCAGAAACCAGGAACUGGAGAAUGGAGGACCAAAGAUCAGAGAACAAACGGUUGUAAAUCUCUCACUCCAGCAUGGCCCACCGUAUACCUGGAGGAAAGGAAUGUCCCUAUCUGAAGACACAGAGACACCAAGAAGAAUCCGAACAGGACUUGCUAAGUUCCCUCCUGUUUAUAACCAUUAGCUAAUACCCUUUUACCCAAUCAUACUUCUGCAUGACUGUUCAUGAACAUACACAGUUUUCCCUGUUUCUUUGGAUCUUAAUUUCUGAAGGUUCCCGGGUCACAUAAAGCUUGUUUUGUUCUCUUUUGUUUGAGACAAGGUCUCACUCUGUCAGCC
rnacentral:lncRNA from 1 species